UACGGGGGGAGCCAGCGUUGUUCGGAUUUACUGGGCGUAAAGGGCGCGUAGGCGGCCACCGCAAGUCGACUGUGAAAUCUCCGGGCUUAACUCGGAAAGGUCAGCCGAUACUGCGGGGCUAGAGUGCAGAAGGGGCAACUGGAAUUCUCGGUGUAGCGGUGAAAUGCGUAGAUAUCGAGAGGAACACCUGCGGCGAAGGCGGGUUGCUGGGCUGACACUGACGCUGAAGCGCGAAAGCUAGGGGAGCGAACGGG
rnacentral:rRNA from 1 species